GCCUGCAUGGAUCAGUGCUUAGAUCACCUUCUAUGAAUGGGCCCAUCCUUUGAUUUCAGGAAGGAGACGGAGGUUCAAAUCCUCCUGUAGGCA